rnacentral:rRNA from 1 species
UACGUAGGUGACCAGCGUUGUCCGGAUUUACUGGGCGUAAAGAGCGCGCAGGCGGUCGUUCAAGUCGAGUGUGAAAGCCCCCGGCUCAACUGGGGAGGGUCAUUCGAUACUGAUCGACUUGAAGGCAGGAGAGGGAAGCGGAAUUCCCGGUGUAGUGGUGAAAUGCGUAGAUAUCGGGAAGAACAUCAGUGGCGAAGGCGGCCUGCUGGGCUGUUGCUGACGCUGAGGCGCGACAGCGUGGGGAGCAAACAGG